GUAUUUGAUUCAGGAUGAUUUCGGUCAUUAUUUUUUCUUCUUUCAAAUUUUGUUCAAAAUAUUCUGGGAAUCGUGAGUAUUGCGAGUUCAACUGAACUGUAACUGGAGUGUGCCAAUUCAAAACACACAAAUAGGUGGAUGGAUGGAAACCCCAAACAAGCGUGCACAUGAAGUGGAUCUUAAUUUAAUUCCAUCAUCGCCAGUGUUUCUGUCUUCAUAAUACCCAUCUCUAGUUGGCACGAGCUACUGCAACAUCACAGCCUUGACAAAGAAUCAAUAUGUGUAGAAAAGCUGUCAGAAAGAAUUUGGACAACAUGACAAAGUGCUAAAAUGAUCCAAUACCUCAAGAACCUCAAGAGAGAAGUGUUACGGUAGAAACUGACUGCAGGAAGAAAUAAAGGAACAUGAUGUGCGUGUGUGUGUGCGCGUGUGGGCUAAAGCGUGAGGAAAGUCUCGUCUCUUUACCCAGAUGGCUUCCUUUGUGUGUGUAGUGUCUAUUCUGAUAAAUAGUGUGAGGGCAAACGUCUGUCACCAGGCUCGAGGCCCCUUCAUUUCUUCUCUCAUUCCACCCCUAUGCUCAUCUCCUCCCUAUUACAUUCUUCUGUCGUUUAUUCACUUUAUGGGAUUAUCGAGGCACUUCUCUCCCGCCUGCGAUUCAUUACACCCCUAACUGCUCACUUAGGUUUAUGCCCCUUUAAAUCCCCCUCCAGAUAGCCAACCAGCCACGGUAAACAGGGACGGCAAGAAACAACGGAGUGGGGGUAGGGGGGAGUCAUCAGAGAGAAAAUUAAGAGAUGUCACGCAGCGGUGAACGUGGCAGUGACGAGAAGCGGUUAGUCGCCAUUUUUAACACGGCUGCCCUCUUUCUAGUCAUUAGUAAUUCAAUUUGGUCUUUAUUAGCCACGCUUAUCUGCUGCGCAGAGUCCCUCUGGCUAGCCCAUAUGAUUCCCCUUCACUCCUCCUCCAGCCCUCUUUAGUCAUUCAUACACUCCUUCACAUUCACACGUCUCAUUCACCU
ensembl:lncRNA